UAGAAAAGAGCAAGUAGCUUUGUCUUUUGUUAUGGAAUUUAGCCAAGUGGUCGAUGUCUAAUAGGGAACAACUCAUCAAUGGGGUUGCAGACUUGCAGGUUGCAUUUCCAGAGUGGGUAUUGUAGUUCAGAACUGGCCACUGCAUCAAGAUAAAAUUAAUCUUUUUGCUCAAAUAACAGUUUUUCCCAUAUAUGAAACAUACCCAAACUACUGCAAUUCUAACUUAUUAUAGGCUGAUUGAUUGCUGACCCAAAGCUUGAUAAUAAAUUAUAUAUAUUUUGAAGAAAGAUAUAGUAAUUUUCCUGAAACAUUUAUAUACAGUAGUGUAACCAAAGCAAGAGAAAGGUAACCAACAACAUGCACCAUUCCAGAGGAAAAGCUUCACACACAGGCAAUCACUCUUUCUCCAUUCCCUCACACAUUCGCACGUGAGUAUAACCUUUUAAGUGGGUCAUGCUUUAAUGCCUUUCCAGUAGCUUAGCUUCCAUUUGUCAAAAUCAUCGAUUAAAUGUGAAAAUUGGAAAAGAGGAACCAGGAAUUUUACUAAUUACUACCCCUGCCAAAUCAUUUUAAUUGACUAUAUGUACGUUUAAGCUGGUUUGAUUUUUCUAAAGAACACUCACAAAUCUCCUAGUCAACCACUAUCUUUUUUUUUUGUCCUAGGAUUCUUGUCCAGCAUUCAAGAAACAGUCCAUGAACUCCCUAAAUAUUUCUAUUUAAAUUGACCUCACCUUUUUCCUGAAAAUUUAAAAUGAAGGUAAGAAUUUCUUUCACAUUCUAAAUCAGAUUCACUUGUACAGUAGGAGACAAUUUAAUCGUUAAAACUAGAGAUUAUUAUUGCCCUAGUUUGAAGCAAAAGCAUUACCCAAAAAGGACUCUAAUGUUACUGUAGUUGCGUGAAAAAGUUACUAACCCUUUUAAGAAAGCUGAACCCCCUGGUGGACCACGCUUGAACUUAUCCUCUGCAACUGAGUCCUCUUUUAACUUUUUAAAUUUACAGAAUCAUCACAUUGGACCCGCCAAGAAAUCACCAUCAUUUGAAUUUCAAACCAAGUUAAAAGAGGAUUUAACAUGAAUUUCAAACCAAGGCAAACCAGUAUAUUUUGCUUUUACACAUUUAACAUGAUUUUUUGCCAAAUGGAAACAAUUUCUUUACCAUGGAUUUUUGCCUUUUAAAUGUGCUCUAUGAGCUGCAAACAGCUGCAUCACAUGGCGCUUUGGAUUGGAUUAUAACCCGAGCUCCUGAAGCAAGCCUUUCUUCUAUUUUGAUCACUUUCUCUUUCCCUUCUCUGAAGGAAUCAAGUUUCUUUGAUUGCUUUUUGCCCGAGACAGGUUCUGUGAUUCUUUUGCUGCUGCUUUUGGAUGUGCUACUGUGUAUGGAUUCAGAGCCAUUGGCCUCAUCAGAAGAGUUUCGAGGUUUAUCAGAAAGGGGUGAUCUGAUUGAUUCACUUCUUGGUUGCUUGCUUAUUGAGGCUUUCUUUGAUCUUGGAAUGCAUUUUGAGCGUCCCGAGGUUGACUCAUCGUUGUUCUCAGCUGAAUCUAUUUGCUUACAGGUACUGCAAUUCAAUUUAGCACCGCAAAUUAGGGGCAAAUCACUAAAAAUUGGUAAGGAAGAUUGCAAGAUGUCCUUUGAUUAUAAUAAUUCAUACCAGAAGUGAUCCUAUCAAAAAGAAACCAAAACAUUUAGCUUUAGAACUUACAACCUGUUACCGAAAGAAAAUACCAAAUAGUAGAACUGUGGUUUCACAGUAAGCACUCAACAUCAAUCACAAUAUUUUAUUGCAUUUGAAGAAAAAGUUAUGCCUUCAUAACAACUCGGACAAGUUUGAUUAUUGCAUGCCAAGGAUCAAUACCAAGACCACAAUUUUAUGGAAUCACAUUUUAAUUAAAAGGCAUGCAAGUCAUCUUUUGAUAUAAGUAUGCACUUACUAAGAAGGAUGUCAUAAUUUUACAUCAAUAUUCAAUAUUUUAGACCAUCACUGAAAUGAUGACUCAAUUUGUUGUAUCGAAUGAUCCUUUCGCUGUGCAUAACAACUCUAUUCCAGAGAAAGCGUUGUGCUUUUGAUUACCAAGUGAAACACAAUUGAAGGGAUUUAAUAUAGUGGGAAAUAUUUCCAUGUGACUAAAUCAUUAAUGGCAAAGGUAUAGGGCAAAAGUUUUAAGGCUAGACUUAUUAAAGAAGGUGGUGCAAGGAUUUUUAUAUCAACUUGUUCUCAAUCCUAAUUGAUCAUGUCAUCAAACUAACUCAAAAUUUAUCCAGCAAGCUCACCCUAAACAAUAGAGACUAGUGUAAAUGUUUUAAGGUGUUAGUUCUAGGAUAUUAAACUAUUAACUUGGAGCAUCAUAUUACUUAAUGUUAUAAAGUUCCAGUAAUAAGAAACCCUAAACUAAAAUUAUUGCCUAAAGAUAUUGAAUUGCAAAAGAUCAUUUCUUUCAUAAAUAAGAAUAAGAAACAGAUAAACCUGUCAGCGUUGUAGGAAGAAGAUCGCUUCAGAGUAUUCAGUCCAUCUCCUUCUUCCUUAAGCAUUUUUGUCUCGACAAGGCUCCCACUGUAAUAUUCUUUGUCUUCCAAUCUCAGACCCAUCAACCUUGGAUUCUCUGAGAGACAAUCAAGCUCCCCUAACAUUAAUGAAGUUGAGAACAAUGGAGAAGCAAAUUUUGAAUGAGAAAACCUUGGCCUGUAGGUUGGUACAAGUCCGAAACUGUGAUCUUUCACUGAAAUUGACCCACAGGAGAUCAAUUGCAUUAACAUAUUAGUAGCUUUGAGCCUUGCAUUGGCUGGCAUUCGAAUUUCUUCCUCUUGAAGGAUCCUAAAACUGUUGAUUUUAUUAACAUCAGCCCUAAUUAGGGACUCCAAAGUUUCAGUCUUUCCACCUGAUGAAGAUGCACCAGAGGAUGACGGUGGAGGGGAAACUGAACUCUCACUUAUAUCAGAGAUCUCCUUAACACUUGGAACCCGGUUUUGGUAAUUAUCAUUGCAUUCAUGUUCUAAUGAGCCAUCAUCAGUUGAAACACCCCUUGUACAAGUUUCUCGGGAUUUAGCUCUGCUCAAAUUUUCCUCAGUCUGCGUUGAAGCAUCUGCUAAUCCAUCACUCUUGUAAACCCUGUACUCUGUCAAGCUUAGAGAACCAUUCCAUGAGGAAUUCUUGCCAUUUCUAGACUCUGGUGACACACCAGAGGAACCAGGACGCUGAAGCGGAGGGGACAGUUCAUCAUCCUGACAAUUCUUUGUUUCCUUCCCAUUCAUGCUUGAAGAAGAUAAGGAAUCAUCUUGACAUCUAGAAGAUGCAGGUUCUGGCAAUUGUUUCAAAUUUUGAAUUUUCAUGGUUCCAACAGGGGCAAAACGAUCUGUGGAGAGACAUUGAAGCUCCCAGGUUUUUAAUUAUUAUGACUUCUACUAAUCCUCCAUCUUGUAAUCAGUUACGCAAUAAAACGAAUAAAUUAGAUAAUCUACCUGAAUUCGUUUCUUCAAAGAGUUCAGAACCUUUGAGAACGUAUUCAUUUCCAUGAGCAGGAAGAAUUAGGUCAUCCUCACUGAGGUCAUGCCAAACAAAUCCAUUUUUGUAGCUUCUCUUGCAGGACCAUGAGUACAUGGAAGCCAUCCCUCUGCCCCUCAACACAUUAAGCCUCUCAAUCACAUCUCUCAGAUGGAGACCGUCCGGCGAAGAGGAAGGGACUUCAAUGAAGUGAGGAUGUUCAAGCUGGCGAUUCCUACAGAGAUAAUAAACCACAGGCACUUUCCGAUUCUGCUGGUACUUCGGCGACCUCUCUUUCCACACUUUUGCUCUCUCCGGACUCACUUGUCUGUACUUCUUCAUUCUCGCCUCCAUUUCCUCAUCAAAACCCUAACAUGCGCCACAAAAUAAACAAAAAAAUGCAAGUUUCACCAACAUGAUGCUACUCUUCAGCGCUGAUUAUCACAUGAGCCAAAUC
rnacentral:misc_RNA from 1 species